rnacentral:rRNA from 1 species
GCUAGUUGUAUUAACUAUUAGUUAAUACAAGAUCGACUAUGUCGACUAAAGUUCUAGGUAGAAUAAUGAUGAUGACAAUUUUCUACCUAUAUGUCUUGACCAAAUCUCGUGCCAGCAGUCGCGGUAAUACGUGAAAGACUAGUGUUAUUCAUCUUAAAUAGGUUUAAAGGGUACCUAGACGGUUUAUCUAGCCCAAAACAGGGUACGGAUUUUCUAGAGUUUUAUGUGAGGAGGGGAGUACUCAUAGAGUAGAGAUGAAAUUUUGUGAUACUAUGAGGAAACUGGUGGCGGCGAAAGCAACCUUCUAUGUAUAAACUGACGUUGAGGGACGAAGGCUUGGGUAGCAAAUAGGAUUAGAUACCCUAGUAGUCCAAGCAGACAAUUCUGAAUGCCAUAGAUUAGAUUUUUUUGGUCUAUAAAUGAAAGUGUAAGCAUUCCACCUUAGGAGUAAUGUGGCAACACAGGAACUGAAAUCAUUAGACCGUUUCUGAAACCAGUAGUGAAGUAUGUUAUUUAAUUUGAUAGUCCUCAAAAAACCUUACCACAACUUGAAUGUUAUUUAAUUAAUACAAGCGUUGCACGGCUGUCUUCAGUUAAUGUCGUGAGAUUUUGGUUAACUCCCUUAAUUAACGUAAACCCAUACUUUAUUUUU